AUUGAACGCUGGCGGCAGGCCUAACACAUGCCAGUCGAACGGUAACAGGAAGAAGCUUGCUUCUUUGCUGACGAGUGGCGGACGGGUGAGUAAUGUCUGGGAAACUGCCUGAUGGAGGGGGAUAACUACUGGAAACGGUAGCUAAUACCGCAUAACGUCGCAAGACCAAAGAGGGGGACCUUCGGGCCUCUUGCCAUCGGAUGUGCCCAGAUGGGAUUAGCUAGUAGGUGGGGUAACGGCUCACCUAGGCGACGAUCCCUAGCUGGUCUGAGAGGAUGACCAGCCACACUGGAACUGAGACACGGUCCAGGCUCCUACGGGAGGCAGCAGUGGGGAAUAUUGCACAAUGGGCGCAAGCCUGAUGCAGCCAUGCCGCGUGUAUGAAGAAGGCCUUCGGGUUGUAAAGUACUUUCAGCGGGGAGGAAGGGAGUAAAGUUAAUACCUUUGCUCAUUGACGUUACCCGCAGAAGAAGCACCGGCUAACUCCGUG
rnacentral:rRNA from 1 species